rnacentral:rRNA from 1 species
UACGAAGGGGGCUAGCGUUGCUCGGAAUUACUGGGCGUAAAGCGUGCGCAGGCGGUGAUGUAAGACAGAUGUGAAAUCCCCGGGCUCAACCUGGGAACUGCAUUUGUGACUGCAUCGCUGGAGUGCGGCAGAGGGGGAUGGAAUUCCGGGUGUAGCGGUGGAAUGCGUAGAGAUCCGGAAGAACACCGGUGGCGAAGGCGGUCUGCUGGGCCAAGACUGACGCUGAGGCGCGACAGCGUGGGGAGCAAACAGG